UAGGGGUACUAUGUUCUCAAAGGGGCACAAGACCAGUCUACCUUCUAAAUUGCCUUGUCAGGAAAGCCUGGGCAAAAGUCACUCUUAUGCAGCCCAGAACACAGACCUUGAUUUUAAAUGCACCACAAGGGACUCUGCCAGGCCUGAAGUUUACUGUAAUGAACCUCCCUGGACAGUGCAGGGUCAGAUCAGGUGUCAGCAGCCGGGGAUGGCUACCAGGAGCCUCAGCCUCUUCCUGUCUUUCAGCUUCUACAAAUCCAACUACGUGCAAAGGUUCCACUACUCCCGGCCCGUGCGCAGGGGGACCGUAGACCCAGAGAAUGAGUUUGCUGUGAGUAUCUUCCCUACCCUUGAUCGUUCCCUGGGGCCACCUGGAGGAAACAGAGCAUGCAUCGGCCAGCCUCAGAAUGGGAAGGAACUUAAUCCAAAGCCAGAGAAAAUAAAGCUAACCUCCAUGGAUACCAUGACGUCCAUUCCCCAAUCUCUUCCAUUAAGGCCUGUGUCCUUAUUUCUUGAGCCUUUUUCCCUUUAAUACAGAACCCAGGCCUCAUGUCAGAGGCACUUUUUCAACCACAGGGCAUUCAGGCAUUGCCAGCACGUAGAAACCCUCAGGCUAAGAAGGGGUGUUGAUAAAAUCAAACCUUCCAGCAAAUACCAGUAAGAAGCCACAGCAAUUUAGUCAUCACUGUCCCCUGAGUGCUAGUCUCCUCUGUGUGUGUCCAGCUAGGAUUCAAACAAGACUGGAUUAAGGAGGUGUCUCCAAGUCUCAGCUCUUUGGCUUGGACUGUAAUUCUUAAUAUUUUUGGAGCCACUGCCUCUUUGAGAGUCUAAUGAACACUGGGAACCCUUCCCCGAGAAAACAAAUGGACACAUUCAAUAUUGCCUAAAAAUUCAGACUGCUAAUAAACCCAGGUUAAAACUUACUUGGCCUAAGUUCAGGGAGCGCUUACACUUAAUGCUGGAAAAGAAUUCUUAAGGGUAAGGUGAGAGCAUGUUUCUGGGUCUUGCAAUAUUUAUUCUGCUUUCGGGUAGACGGGAGGCCUGGGGACCUGGCUGGGUUUGUGCCAAGCUUCUCUGAUACCCAGGUUUCAUAAAUGUGUUUGUUGCUUUCCUGCCCUUGCCACCCCCUUGCCCACGGACAGUCCAUGUGGAUUGAGAGAACCUCCUUCGUGACUGCGUACAAGCUGCCGGGGAUCCUGCGCUGGUUUGAGGUGGUGCACAUGUCGCAGACCACAAUUAGUCCUCUGGAGAAUGCCAUAGAAACCAUGUCCACAGCCAAUGAGAAGAUCCUGAUGAUGAUAAACCAGUACCAGAGUGAUGAGACCCUCCCCAUCAACCCACUCUCCAUGCUCCUGAAUGGGAUUGUGGAUCCUGCUGUCAUGGGAGGCUUCGCCAAGUAUGAGAAGGCCUUCUUCACUGAAGAGUAUGUCAGGGACCACCCUGAGGACCAGGACAAGCUGACCCACCUCAAGGACCUGAUUGCAUGGCAGAUCCCCUUCUUGGGAGCUGGGAUUAAGAUCCAUGAGAAAAGGGUGUCAGAUAACUUGCGACCCUUCCAUGACCGGAUGGAGGAAUGUUUCAAGAACCUGAAAAUGAAGGUGGAGAAGGAGUACGGUGUCCGAGAAAUGCCUGACUUUGACGACAGGAGAGUGGGCCGCCCCAGGUCUAUGCUGCGCUCAUACAGACAGAUGUCCAUCAUCUCUCUGGCUUCCAUGAAUUCUGACUGCAGCACCCCCAGCAAGCCCACCUCAGAGAGCUUUGACCUGGAAUUAGCAUCACCCAAGACGCCGAGAGUGGAGCAGGAGGAACCAAUCUCCCCGGGGAGCACCCUGCCUGAGGUCAAGCUGCGGAGGUCCAAGAAGAGGACGAAGAGAAGCAGCGUAGUGUUUGCGGAUGAGAAAGCAGCUGCAGAGUCGGACCUGAAGCGGCUUUCCAGGAAGCAUGAGUUCAUGAGUGACACCAACCUCUCGGAGCACGCGGCCAUCCCCCUCAAGGCAUCUGUCCUCUCUCAAAUGAGCUUUGCCAGCCAGUCCAUGCCUACCAUCCCAGCCCUGGCGCUCUCAGUGGCAGGCAUCCAUGGGCUGGAUGAGGCCAACACAUCCCCCCGCCUCAGCCAGACCUUCCUCCAACUCUCAGAUGGUGACAAGAAGACACUCACACGGAAGAAGGUCAAUCAGUUCUUCAAGACGAUGCUGGCCAGCAAAUCGGCUGAAGAAGGCAAACACAUCCCAGACUCGCUGUCCACGGACCUGUGAGCUGCUGCUGACUAGGGCUGCAUGGGAGAGCCAGGGAGGGUUGUUUCUGGAAGAGGGAAGCCAUGCAUGGAACAUCGAAGCCUCAGAGAGUGGGAGACUGUCCCCAUCAGUUGUCCUCACUUAGAGGAGAGAGAGGGGCCAAUCAGUUCCCAGAGCUUGAGUGCUAACAAGCCCAGCAUCCCCUGGGGCUGUGAUCCUGGUGGAUGAGGAAGCCUCAACAUAGAUUCCUGAACUCAAGGUACCAGCAAGAAUGCCUUCUCCCAUUGUGCUCUCCCCAACAUCCUAGGCACAGCUUUCAUAACCCAGUUUCAUAGGUGUAAGAAACUGUUUUUAUUUCAUUUAUUAAGUCUCAGAACUUAACAGAAAAGGAAGCCUUUUAAAUAUUCUUUUUAAUUUUAUUUUAGAUUAACAGUUUUGUACUUUACAUUUUUUUUAUACAACCAACCAGUUUCUUUCCUAGCCAAUCAUCUCUGAAGAGUUGCUGUUUCUUACUGACAAUAAAAAAUGUUCUCUUGGUUCG
rnacentral:sRNA from 1 species